rnacentral:misc_RNA from 1 species
GAUGAAGAACGCAGCGAUAUGCGAUAAGUAAUGUGAAUUGCAGAAUUCAGUGAAUCAUCGAAUCUUUGAACGCACAUUGCGCCCGCCAGUAUUCUGGCGGGCAUGCCUGUUCGAGCGUCAUUUCAACCAUCAAGCCCUGCUUGCGUUGGGGUCCUGCGGCUGCCCGCAGGCCCUGAAAACCAGUGGCGGGCUCGCUAGUCACACCGAGCGCAGUAAUACAUCUCGCUUUGGGCGUGCGGCGGGUUCUUGCCGUUAAACACCCCCUUUUUACCAAGGUUGACCUCGGAUCAGGUAGGAAUACCCGCUGAACUUAAGCAUAUCAAUAAGCGGAGGA